CUGUGCGCUUGUCCAUAAAGUACACCCAGGGUCAUAAAGCAUAGCGCCACCAGCUAACUUCUGAUUGGUUCCUUGUCACGAGGCAGGCACCUAACCUCUAGUGACUAAGAUAAGGUCUUAGGGAGCAUGUAUUACUGUCAUGGCUGCCGAAAUGGGGAGCUGGUCCCUUCAUUAUGAAUUUAUUUUAAACUUUUAGUGCAAACAUGGCAUACAUACAUAAAAAGACACAAAUCGCUCUGUACCAAUGGCAUAAAGAAGGUAAUUAUAUAACCAUUACAUACACAACUCAUUUAAUUAUUAUAUUUAUAUAUAUUUAUAUUUAUAUUACUCAUUUAAUUAUUACUUGUCUAUUCCCGAGUGUCAUUGUAUUCUGAAUUUUAAAACAAAAUAUUGUACUUGCUAAUACUUAACCUUUAUGUAAACUAAAUUAUAGGUAGUAUAUUUUGUGUUUGGCUUUACUUAACAUUGUGUGAUUUAUCCCUGAUGUUACCUGUAGAGUUGUACAUUUGUUUCACUGUUACAUAUUAUUCUAUUAGUAUAACACAAUUUAUCUAUUUUGUUGUUAAUGGGUAUUGGCUACAUUUCCAAUACUUGGUUGAAGGGAUGCUGUUAGGAAUAUUCUUGUACAUAUUUUUUAGUGUGCUCCUAUAUGCAUUUUGUUGGUGGUUCUCUUAGACAUAAUUCACUGAUAGAAUUUCUAGAUUCUUGCGACUUUGGAGGUCACUAUGAAAGCAGGUCAAAUAUGAAAGGGAGGAAUGCUUCACAGGAAUCAUGGCUUCAAUGAAUGAGACAGAUACUAUGUAUUGGCCAACUCUGGGCUCGGUGUGUUGGGUAUACAUGUUCCUGUGAAUCUGUGCAUGCAUGCUUGUGUGUGUGUGAUGCAGAGGUUAGAGGUCAAGUGUGGGUAUAUUCCCUGAUCCCUCUUCAUUUUAUCUUUGAGACAGAGUCUCUCACUGAACCUGGGGCUUGUGGGUUUGGAUAGGCUGGCUGGACAAUGAGCUUUAGAGAUCUCUCACUCUCUCAGCACUGGGGUUAAAAAAACACAUACCAUGGCAGGCUUUUUACAUGGGUCUUUGUACUUGGGUGGCAGACAUUUUAUCAGCUGAACCAUUUCUCCAGCCCCAAGUUUGGGCUUCUUACAUGAAAACAAAUGGCAGAGAAAGGGAGCACUCUCCUGGUAGGAGUAAAGGACCCCAAUUGACGGAAGGAAUUUGGAUUGCUGCUGUUCAAUGGAAUAAAUAGUAUUUGGAACAUAGGAUUUUUCAUUAAGAUUCCCCAAUGUAUCCUCUGACCGUGGCCUACUACUAGUCUACUAAUAUAUAGGGAGGGAGGCAGUAAUCUCCUAAGGGCCUCAACUAAGACUCAUAUCUUACAGCAGUAUAUGUUUCAGUCACUCUACCUUAGUAAAGAAUUGUAUUUAACUUAGUUGUUUGGCAGAGUGAGAGAAUACUAGCAUGUACAAUAAACAGAAGCAGCUAUGCCUGAGAAUCUAGACGGUAUGAUCAGUUGAAAAGUGGAAUAUAGAAAACAAAUUAUUUUGCUAUUUUUCUUCUCUGCCAUGUGUGAAGCUAGACUAAGGCCAUUAGCACACUAAGCCCACCAGAAUUUAGUUGGGACAAAUUCUGAUCUAUCUUUAUAUCACUUGGGUUCUUAGACUACAUGUAUUAACUGAAAGCUUGAAGUUGAUGAACUCUGAAUUUCACAUACACACCCCUUCCUAUUUAGUCCUGUGAACCUAUGGCAAGCUCUACUUUGUUUUCUAGUUGCUUGUGGAAGAGCCAAAUGGCUUUCUGGGAAAAGCCCCAUUCUGAUUCUUCCUUUAUUUGUAUUAUUUGAAAGAACUCUGGCAGUCUUCACUAAUUUGGUAGCUUCCUAAUGACUUUAAAACAGGUAUGCCUGUUUUAUUUUGAUUUAGCUUUUCUUGUUGUUUGCAAUAAAAGUAUGAGCAAAACUUAGUUCUUCACGAUCAGAAAUAGAACCUAAAGAAUCCCGUCUGUCUUUUCCUCUGUCUCUGUCUCUGACACACCAUCACUCUAGAUAGCUCAGAUUGGCCUCAAACUGCAAUACUCCUGCUCCUGCCUCUGGAGUGCUGGAAGUACUGGCAUUGCACACCAUGCUGGCCUCUGAUUAUUUUCCAUACAAUAACACAACAGUGAAAACUUCAUUGUGCAACUUUGUAACGAAAGUCAUGCUUUAUAUGGUAGUGAUAUGCAAAAGCAGACAUGAGAAGGAAGAGUAGAAACAGAAACCUAAGAAGGGUCUACAUUAAUAGAUCAAGUAUGAGCUGAUGAGAGUCACCGUGGAGAAUGUAAAGAAUGCCUGUCAAGAGUCGCAGGACCGAUAAUUACGCUGAUCCUGUCACCUCUGCCUGGCCUAGAACUCGGCAGCAGCCCAGCUGACCUUAACUCAAUCACCUGUGUGCCACCAGAUGCAGCACUGUUUAGUGCAAUUCUGUUCCACAGAUAUGACACCAAAUCAACUGCUAAGUAUCUGUUGCUUGUUUUUGACCAUCAUGACUAAUAGCUACUAUAAACAUUUGUGUAUUUGUUCUCUGUAGAAAAAAAACACACUAAUUCUUUUUUAUCUCAAAGAUUUGUGCAUGGCCCAUUAAAGCGCAAACCCUACCAAUUUAAGGUCAAAAUGAUGUUUUCAAUAUGAAAGCACAGGUCUUGUUUUGAAACAGUGUCAUUAUGUAACCCAGGUUGGCCUCCAACCAGAGCUCUCUUUCCUGUAGCUCCUCAGUGCUGAGAUAACAGGGCUGUGAUGCCAUGGCCAGCCAAAAUACAAUUUCCUCAAACAGUAUUAAUUUAACUUUGUAAGAAUGAUACUGUAAACCAGAGAGCACAAAAUUAAUUGGAUUUUUAUGCAAGCAAUAUAUUUGUUUCACUUGGGUUCCAAAUCAUGUAUUUGCAGAAUAUGCCAAUAAGCUUUGAAUAUAAAUCUUAUAGUUUAUUGUGUAUAUGAUAUGUACUGCCUGAGGGCACUUUUUAGACAGGAUCACGUCAUAUAUGCUGGCCUCAAACUUCAAAACAAUUUAUGUGUAUGAGUGUUUUGCCUCGAUGUAUUUAUGUUAUGUGCAAGCUUGGUGCCCAUGGAGGCUAAAAGGCAUCAGAUCCACUGGAACUGGAGUUACGGACGGCUGUGGGUCACAAUGAAACAAGAGCUCUUAACUUCUGAGGCAUCUCUCCAGCCUCUGGCUUUCCACUCUUCAUGUAACUGAGGAUGACCUUGAACUCCUGAUCCUUCUGCCUCUACCUCCCAAGGCUGAGAUGAUAGGCCUUCAAUACCAUGCCCAGCUAAAACAUUGAAUUGUAUUCUUUACUAAUCACUAAUGACAAUUUUUGUAUUUCUUUAACUAAUGAUGUAGGGAUAAAUACCAUAGUGUUAGCCAAACCUACUUUUUAGUCAGUGUGUGUGACUUUGUAUCACAUUACAAUUCUAAUAAAGAUUGGCACUACCA